AGGUGCAGAGGAGAAAAAGAAGGCGGCUAAAGAGAAGAAACCGAAAGAAGAAUCCAAGAGUAAGGAAGACAAGAAGAUGAAAGAAAAGAAACUCAAUGGUGCAGAGAAGAAGAAUAAAAAGGGAGAGAAGGAUGAGCCUAAGGAAGAGGUUGAAGGAAAGAAGAAGAAAGAGAAAAAAGAACAUGAUAUGGAGGCUAUAGACAAUAUUGUAAAUGUGAAAGAGCAAAAUGAAGAAGACAAGAAGAAAAACAAGGGUAUAGAGACGAAACACGAGGAUGUAUCACCAGGAAAGGAGGGGAUAGAAGAAGAAGAAGCCGCCAAAAAAAAUAAGAAGAAAGAGAAGGAUGAAUCAGGUGCAAAGCUAAAAAAGAAGAAUGCUGAUAAAGAAAAGAAGAUGAAAAAGGGAGAGAAGGAUGAGCCUGAGGAAGAAGAUAAAGGAAAGAAGAAAGAAGAUGCUGGAACAGAUCAAGAGAAGAAAGAAGAAGAUCAUAAGGAGGGAAAGAAAAAGAAGAAUAAAGAUAAGGCGAAGAAAAAGGAAAUGAAUGAGAUUUAUGAGAAAG
rnacentral:lncRNA from 1 species